AAGGAAGCACACUCGGGUCAUAGAUUAAGCCAUGCAAGUGCAAGUUCAGGGUAACUUAAACUGCGAACAGCUCAUUAACACACUUUGAAUCGUCUUGAUAGCUUCUUCGGAAUUAUAUGGAUAGCAGGAGUAAACUCGUGCUAGUACAUGCAAUUGUUUCGUUUUCUUGGAUAAGAAAUGAAAAAGUUCACCCUUUUUAGGGGAUAUCAAACGAUAGAGUGCCCUAUCAGCUUGUACUUAGGAUCUUUACCUAGGUAGGCUAUCACGGGUAACGGGCGGUUACCGUUGUACUGCCGGAGAAGGCGCCUUAGAGAUAGCGACUAUACCCAUGGGAAGCAGCAGGCGCGAAACUUUCCCACUCUUCAACGAAGGAGGGGGUAAUGACCAGUCUUUUUAAAGUAGACUUUAAUCUUUCAAAUUUUAGUUAGCAAGCAGAGGGCUAGUCUGGUGCCAGCAGCUGCGGUAAUUCCAGCUCUGCUAGUUUGCUCCCAUAUUGUUGCAGUUAAAACGCCCGUAGUCUGUAUUUUCUUGAAACUGUGAAUAAAUCAGAACGCUUAGGGUUCUUUCUUGAGAGAAUGACUUUGCGCAGUCUUUUAAUUUUUCCAAUGGAAAACGCAAUGAGAGCCAUCGGGGGUAGCUCUAUUCCAUGGCGAGCGGUGGAAUGCUCUGACCCAUGAGGAGAGAAUCGAAAGCGAAAGCAACUACCUAGAGGGUUUCUGUCGAUCAAGGGCGAGAGUAGGAUUAUCGAACCGGAUUAGAGACCCGGGUAGUUCCUACUGUAAACUAUGCCGACAGGAUCGUAUUUUUUUCGGAAAGUACGGUUCAAAAGAAAUUUAGUUCAUGGGCUCUGGGGGAACUACGACCGCAAGGCUGAAACUUGAAGGAAUUGACGGAAGGGCACACCAGGGGUGGAGCCUGUGGCUCAAUUUGAAUCAACACGGGGAAACUUACCAGGACCAGGUGUUUUUUGUGACUGACCGUCUAAAGAGCGUUCAGGAUAUUACUUGUGGUGGUGCAUGGCCGUUGGUAGUGCGUGGGUUGACCUGUCUAGCGUUGAUUCAGCUAACGAGCGAGAUUAUCGCCUCUUUUUGUUAAGAGGGACUCCUUUUUCAAAAAAGCGGAAGAGGGUAGCAAUAACAGGUCCGUGAUGUCCUUUAGAUGCUCUGGGCUGCACGCGUGCUACAAUGUGAGUUUCAAACAGUUUGCUAUCAUGAGAGGGAAAGCUAAUCUGUGAAUAUCUCACGUAGUUGGGAUUGACUGUUGUAAUCACAGUCAUGAACUAGGAAUCCCUUGUAAAUGUGUGUCAACAUCGCACGUUGAAUAAGUCCCUGCCCUUUGUACACACCGCCCGUCGCUCCUACCGAUUGAAUGACUCGGUGAAAUUACUAAUUCCUUCGGGAGGAGGUAAUUAAAUCACGUUAUUUAGAGGAAGGAGAAGUCGUAACAAGGUAACG
rnacentral:rRNA from 1 species